AACAUCGCGCACCUGCGGGAACCUGCGGAAGGAUCAUUACCGAGUUUACAACUCCCAAACCCCUGUGAACAUACCACUUGUUGCCUCGGCGGAUCAGCCCGCUCCCGGUAAAACGGGACGGCCCGCCAGAGGACCCCUAAACUCUGUUUCUAUAUGUAACUUCUGAGUAAAACCAUAAAUAAAUCAAAACUUUCAGCAACGGAUCU
rnacentral:misc_RNA from 1 species